GUUUGCCUACGGGGGGCAGCAGUGGGGAAUAUUGCGCAAUGGGCGAAAGCCUGACGCAGCGACGCCGCGUGAGGGAUGAAGGUCUUCGGAUCGUGAACCUCUGUCAGCAGGGAAGAACGGUCACUGUGCUAAUCAGCAGUGAAUUGACGGUACCUGCAAAGGAAGCACCGGCUAACUCCGUGCCAGCAGCCGCGGGAAUACGGAGGGUGCGAGCGUUAAUCGGAAUUACUGGGCGUAAGGCGCUCGUAGGCGGU
rnacentral:rRNA from 1 species